UACGUAGGGUGCAAGCGUUGUCCGGAAUUAUUGGGCGUAAAGAGCUCGUAGGCGGUCUGUCGCGUCUGCUGUGAAAACCUGGGGCUUAACCCCGGGCCUGCAGUGGGUACGGGCAGACUAGAGUGCGGUAGGGGAGACUGGAAUUCCUGGUGUAGCGGUGAAAUGCAUAGAUACCAUAAAGAACUCCUAUUGCGAAGGCAGCUUACUAGGCUGUAACUGACGCUGAGGCACGAAAGCGUGGGGAUCAAACAGG
rnacentral:rRNA from 1 species